UAUGUUUCAGAUUCAGAAGUAAUACAAUUGUCAGUGACAGUAACAUUCGGAGAACUUGAACUGCUCUGUUCAUCGGAUUCAUCAAUGUCAUCUGUGUCCUGAACAACGGAGGCUCCGUUAUCUUCCAGUAUUGGUGCUGGAGGGACCUUCUUUUGUUUCACGGUGGCUUCUAAGAAUACAACAUCUCUGCUCAUUA